rnacentral:rRNA from 1 species
AUGGAGGUGCCAUUUGGUGUCCGCAAUGCUAUCAAGAAAGUGCCAGGUUUUCUGCGCUGUUUCCCCAACCUGGAGACGCUCCAUGUCCAAUCCCCCCGCAUACGUGAGGAGUCCACCGGCAAGGUCAAUCUCAAGUUCUGGCAGGAGGGCGGUCCCAUCAAAUGCGUCCUGCAGAGCAUGAAGAAGUUGUUCUUCUACGAGUUCCGAGGGUCGAGAAGCGAGCUUACUUUCCUCAAGUUUAUCGCGGAGAGAGGUCGGGUGCUGGAGCAGAUGGUGGUUGUGUUGGCCAGUGAGUGUUUCUCCUCGGGGGAUAACGUGAAUGCCAAGCUGAAGCCUCUGGCCAAUGCGAAAUGGAGCAGCAAAGCCUGCAAACUAGAGCUCUUCAGGAGCCCACUCACAAAUGUUUCUGGUCCUCGUCACAACCACGAACUAGCUGCUGAUUUUGGGUUUGCUGACCCUUUUGAUCUCAAGUACUACUCCAAAGCAGAAAGGAUCUCUGUAAGUUGA